rnacentral:rRNA from 1 species
UACAUGGGGUGCAAACGUUGCUCGGAAUUAUUGGGCGUAAAGCGCGCGUAGGCGGUUACUUAAGUCGGAUGUGAAAGCCCUCGGCUUAACUGAGGAAGUGCACCCGAAACUGAGUAGCUAGAGUACGAAAGAGGGUCGCGGAAUUCCCGGUGUAGAGGUGAAAUUCGUAGAUAUUCGCAAGAACACCAGUGGCGAAGGCGGCUCACUGGCCCGUAACUGACGCUGAGGCACGAAAGCGUGGGGAGCAAACAGG